UUUAAGUCGUGGCAGACGUGUCCCCCCAUCCAGAAGGCCGUACAGUAAAUGGUGUUGGAGUGUUUGAUGACAGUGGCAUUUGCCAAGAUGUCUGAUUGUUCAGGCAUGUAGUCUGAUGUUGUGCUGUGGAGAAAACAAUUUCUCGGUUCUUGUUCCACAGUCUGACGUACACCUCACAAUGCCAAGGGCUCAGAUGUUAACUUGUCACUGAAAUCAUGCCAGAGGAUAACAGAGAUUAUGGAGCAACACAAGAUUGCUAUAUACAUCCUGAAUUAAAAGAGCAUCAAACAGGCCAUGGAUAAUAAUUAUGGACUCAACAAAUGUCUUCCCCGACGUGUCAGAGUUUCGACAGUCUGAGUCUGGCAGCUGAGCUUGUGUGAUGAGGCAGGCUGCAGGCCAGUGGGGAGCUGGAAGGAAAGGAGGUUUGAAGUUUGCUUCCAAGGACACCUUCCUCUUACAGCUGGGCCUUUGUCUUUCACACCCCUCCAGCUAUGUGACCCACCACCCCCUCCCCCAGCCACUAGGAGAGGGUGCUUUUAAACCCGCAUAUAAUUAUUCGUUUUAGGGAGCUAGAUGGAAGACCACAAACUCUGAAAGAGAUUCUCAAGCCUUUAUUUUGCAACAGUCUUUCCACCCCCAGCUUGGAUGUAGAGAAAAAAUAAAGUUGUGGUGGAGCAGGGUAGGGGUGAGGUUACCAGGGGCAGCUUUCCAGAUCUUUCUGAAAUUGGCCUUUAAAUUCUGAACUUAUAACUUUGCUGGAUGUGCUUUUGAAUUCCCAGGAUACUAGCUCCACCCUUAUACAUUGAAAAGGAUCAGAGACUAUGUCCAGUUCCAUCUCUUUUCCAGUUCAGAGAGGGAAACUGUGUUCAGGACAGUGAAACAGGCCACUUCAUUAAAUCCUCUAAACUGCCCGAAGGAGGGGGAUUGGUAUUUCUGUUUUAUAGCUGGGAAAACAAGCUCAGAGAAAUGAAAUAACAUGCCCAAGUCCCAUAGCCAGUAGGUGAAAGGGCUGAAAAUUUGAGGUCUGCCGACCUCAAUCUUUGGCUUUCCUCUCUUUGCCACUGUCUGUGUAGUGGCUAUGACAACAGACUCUGGGGCCAGAUCCUGGGAAAGUUGCUUAGCCUCUCUGUGCCUCAGUGUCCUCAUCCAUAAAAUGGAGACAGCUGGGUUGUCAUGAGGAUGAAAUGAGAUAUAGUAUGUUAAAGCACUUAGGACAGUGCUUCACAAGUAGUAAGUGAUACGCAAGUAUUAGCUAACAUCUCCACCUCCUAAAACAUUUAACACCAUGAGUAAGUAGCUUAUUCUAGUAACUGCCUCACUGUGCCAGGUUCUUGAUAAAUAUGCUUUUUAAUCUUUAUAACAGCCCAGCAAGAUAAAUCUUAUGUCUUUUUUUUUUCUUUUUCUUCAGAUGAACAAACUGAAAGGUUAAAAAUGUACUCCAAAAUGUUAUAGCUAGGGAGUAGCUCAGCUGGGAUUUGAGCUUUCAUCAUUCUGAAUCCAAGGACACUUUUUCUCCUGUGCCAAGCCCUGGUCAUAUCCAGUAGCAUUUAACCCUCAACAACUGCUUGAAAAUUCCAGUGGCCAGUAGCGCAGAGAAUUGAGAAGCAGCCAGUUCUAUCACUGAAGGAACUACUAACUACAAAGCCCUCCAUCAGAUCUGCCUCCAGUCUGGGGUAGAAGGAAUCUUCCUUCUUCCGUGUGGCAGUCAAUAAUAGCUUGAGAGCCAUGGUGUGCCACAAGUCUCUCUUAAACAGUCCCCUUGCUUCUUCAUAGGACAUGACACUCUGACCGCUCCCUAUCCUGAUUUUUCUCCUCUGGUCACUCUUUGUAAAGAUCGUGACAAGGUGUAGAACAGCCUUGCACAUGGAGAUUGGUAGGUCUAGAGAAGGAGUGCAGACGACUUGAGUUGGAAAGAAGGUUUGGAGCAUGUAGAUAUCGGGGAGAUGGACCCCACGAGGCUUGGCCCUUCUGCAUCAUUUUCUGUUGGAGUCUGUCUCCCCUGCUAGAAUCCCUGAAGAGGCAGGACACUGUCUGUAUUUUUCAUUGCUGUAUCCUUGUUGCCGAGAACACUACCUGGCACCUGGUAGUCUCCGUGGUAUUUUUAAAAAAUAAAUACAGGAGCAAAUGAAUGAAUUGUUGUGGGGACUGAGGGAGACAGUGGACUGAGAUUUGGAGCUGGGAGAAGGGGUGAUGGCAUUAGGAGAAAGCUUGACGUCAGCAGGAAGAGCUGCUUUGGGGCCGGGUGAGGAGUGUACUGUGAGACAUGGAGUUUCAGACCCCAGCUGGAUGCGUUAUUUUGGACUUCAGGGGUGGGAAAGGGGCAGGUAGUGGUUUGCUGUGGUUAUGGUUGUCAGGGAAGGCAUCCUGGGAAAGGUGAUGUAACAGAACCCCUAAGGGUGGGGGGAUAUGUCUUGAUGAAGAGGGACCCAAAGUACCGAGGAACUUCAGGAAACUGAAGACUUGUUUGGGAGGAUAGGGUGGGUGGGAGUGGAAGGGACACUGGGAAAGGAUCUUGCUGAACUGGAGUGGAGGUAGGAGAUGAGACAGACCAAGGGGCUCAGGUGUGCCUCCAGCUUAGCGUUUGUUAUCCUGCCUGCACUGGGGGGAGCUGGGGAGGGAGCACAGGGUUAGGGCAGCUGCGCUGCCAGCUCUGAGUUGGAGACCUGAGUCUUGUCCUAGACCAGCCUUGUUCAACUGUCCCCA